ensembl:lncRNA
CUGGAAUAAGAGAUUUGGGAUUGCGAUGGAUUGACACACGGUACAUGCGGCUGGGAUGUGGGAUUGGCAUUGGGAUUCGGGAUAGGGAUUGGGAUGCGGGAUACGGGAUUGGCAUGUGGGAUUGGGAAUGAGGUGUGGGAUUGGGAUUGGGAUUGGGAUUGGGGUUGGGAUAGGGACUGGUAAUGGGAUGCGGGAAGUGGGUGUACGGGUACGGGACAGACUUGGCAAAGGUAUGGGAACGAUAUGGGGUGGAGUUGGGACGGGAUAUGGAUAUGGGAUGGGAUUGGGUUGAUCAUAAGAUGGGAUAAGUAUACGGAAUGGAUAUGGG